GGCUGGAGUGCAGUGGUACAAUCUCAGCUCACUGCAACUUUUGCCUCCCAGAUUCAAGCGAUUUUCCUGCCUCAGCCUCCUGAGUAGCUGGGAUUCCAGGCGUGUGCCACUACAUCCAACUAAUUUUUGUAUUUUUUAGUAGAGUUGGGGUUUCGCCAUGUUGGCCAGGCUGGUCUCAAACUCAUCACCUCAGGUGAUCCACCCUCCUUGGCUUCCCAAAUUGCUGAGAUUACAGGCGUGAGCCACUGUGCCCAGGCAAGGACCAGACUUGAAGUGCCCAAAGCCCUGGGCUUGGGAAGAGAGAGUUCUUAUGUUUAAAUUUCCAAAUCUCUUUGUGUACAAGUCAAUUAUGGCACAGAAGGACGGGACUACUCACCAUUUUCCUACCAGCUCUACCAUUUUACUCAGUUAUCCCUUAGCUCUUGGUGGGUAAAUGUGGUGAGUGACUCACAAACAUUGUACUCCUCUUCAAAGAACUGAAGCAAUACUUUUAUGGAAUUGAUCUCAGUGGGCAGGGGUAGGCAUAUUGGUUAAGGGUAAACACCUCCUCCCCUUUUUCCCACUUCCCUGCCAGUGACUGAUUUAGGAAUUGGCAUGUGAUUCAAAUCUGACGAGGUUUGCUGAAGGCUUCCGGGAAAAGUCCUUUGUUGCUUUUAAGGAAGAGCCAUGUGAAAUCAGGCUUUCUCCAUCUCUUUUGGAUACCAACAAGAAUGCCGAUAAGUGCUGUUUGGUGCUAUUGGCCACUGGGGAGCCAAGUUUAGUGUGAAACCAGUGUUGGAGGAGGAAGAACAAAAGCAUAGAAAGAACUCGUAUGUCAGGUCACAUUUUUGAGCUGCUAAAUCUCUCAACUCUUAAGGGAAUCCUACUUCUAGAUUUCUUUGGUUAUGUGCUUAUUAUUUAAGCCAAGUUGUUGUUUUCUAUUUCUUAGAACCGUAGACAUCAUAACGGCCCCUUUCCCUGUGUUUGGAUGGCCUUUUCACUCAUGCUUUGAUUAAACCUCUUCUUAUUCCUUUAGAAUAAGAGAAGUAAGGAUAGGUCAUAGGAUAAACACAUUGUAAAGGCUCUUCACCUAUAUUACUAAGAUGCUUUCCAGAAAAUUUGCACCAUUUACUGUCCUGCCCAUGGCAUGAGGCAGCCCUUCCCCCUAUCUCUUUGCCUGCAGCCACCCUAGUUCCACACACUCUUAACUGCAGGCUGGUAAGGGUGAGCGUUAUUUCCGAUUUUAUUGUGUCUUUGUAUCCCUCUUUUGGGUAACUUUGAGAUGUAGUCCAGCAGGUUCAUAAAGAAAAGAAUAACCAGGAUGGAUGGAUUCCAGUGAAGGGGCAGGGGCAUUGACCUGCUAGGAAACCAAGGGUAUGGAGGAAAGAAGAUGGGAAAAGGAGAUGGUGAGGUCUCACACUGGGCCGAAAGAUGGAAAUGGGGAAGAUUAGCAAGGUAGGAAGGUGAGGACAUGGAGAACAGGCUCUUAACAUGUAAUAAUGAUAAAUCCCCAAAAGCCGUCUUUGGCAAAAGUCUUUUUCAUACUCUGGACGAUAGGUGCAGGCUACUGCAGUGUUGCUGAUGGGGAGGACUGUAUUUGGGAGCAGCCUCUCUGGCUCCACCAAUGUUUAUCCUUUAUCAUCUUAGUAAAAAAUGCCACCUUAUGGGGCAUCCUAAAUAUGGUCUGGUUUGGGUUUCAGCGUGGAAGCUUUUUCAAGUGUUUGCCAUUUUGCAGGAAGGCCACGCACCCAAAGGCAGCCUUACAGAUCGGGGUGGUGGGGGGACUGGAAAGUCACCUGUGAUUUAAUUUGAUGAGUCCAAACCAUACCUCUUGCCUCUCAGUUUCUUCUCUCUCUACCCAUGCUUGAAAUUCCUCCAGAAAUGAAAUCACAGAAUUUUUAAGCCAGAAAGAGCCAUCUAGUUCAACCACUCAGUUAAUAGAUGAAGUCGGUUCAAAGAGGUGAAGCAACUUGAAACAGGUCCUGGAGACUGUUGGUGGUGGAAGUCCAGAAGACAGCACAGGUUUUACAGAACUGGAAGCAAUCUGGCCUCUCAGGUUUCAUCAACUCAUCUGGCUGGCACCAACCAGAGUGAGGUGUUUAAUUGUUCGACCCACAACGGAGGGGCCCACAGAGCACGUUGUUAUGUACAGGGUCCACACAGGUCAUUAAAGGACUGAAAAAGGUAUAGACAUGUUAGUUUGCAGAAGAAGAGAAUGUGGGCUGGGCGCAGUGGCUCACACCUGUAAUCCCAGCACUUUGGAAGGCCAAGGCAGGUGGAUCACUUGAAGUCAGGAGUUUGAGACUAGGCUGGCCAACAUGGUGAAACCCUGUCUCUGCUAAAAAUACAAAAACUAGCCAGGCAUGGUGGCGGGUGCCUGUAAUCCCAGCUACUCAUGAGGCUGAGUAUGAGAAUCGCUUGAACCCGGAAGGCGGAGGCUGCAGAGAGCUGAGCUCACGCCAUUGCACUCUGGCCCGGGCUACAGGAUGGGACUCCAUUUCCAAAAAAAAAAAAAAAAAAAAAAAAGAAGAGAGAAUGUUCCUUAAUUCUUUUCCUGUUUUUUUUUUUUUUUUUUUUUUUGAGAUUAUAAAGGUUUUGAUCUUGUUAUUUUCACAAAGGAUGUAGAGCAGUAGCAGUAUCUUUGGAAAUAAUGAAGGAUUUCCUAAAAGCGAGGAUUGUAACACAUUGGAAUGUUACUGAGAUAGGUUGUGAAAUAUUUCCUGGGUGUCUUCACCAAUAAUAUGGACUAGGCAGUUCAUCUGGAAUCCUGGGCUAGGUGUGGUCUCACCCAGUAACUUGGAGAUUCAUUGAGAGACUUCCAGAAGUUUCUGACAAUAAAUAAGAAAGUCUAUGAGUCUGCAAAUCUGUGAAAUAAUGGAGUUUCCAGGACUUCCAUGACAGAGUCUACUUCUGAUUCUAAUUAAAGGCAUUCCUCCUAAAGAAUUUAAUUUUUCUGAGGUUCAACUGGUACUUCAAGCCACCCAUUUGCGAAUUAUAAUUUUUCAACUUUUCUGAACAGUCUUAACAUGUGCAGUACAGAUUAGGUGAUAUUUUCAAGUUUUCUGCUAUUCUUUUUUCCUUGGAAGAAAAUUAUGAGUGUCAGUCAGUUAAAAGACAAGCAAACAUAAAGAAAAUCAACUCUUGCUGGAAAGUGUUGGAAUUGUACAAAAGAUUUUGAAGAUUGAACAUGACAUGGAGCUUGGCAUGGGAUUGUGGUCUGGGUGAAAGGCUCACAUGCCACUGGAAAACAUGGACAGCAACCAAAUGGCUGGCCCGCUGGGCAUUCGCUUGAAGUGAUAGCCAUCUCUUGGGAGGUUGCUUUUUUCCCUUUUUCCUUUUUUUAAGAGGUGAGAUCAUGACAACUUGCAUUUUGCAGAACUGAGCCAAAAGAAAUUGUCACUCUUUCUAAUUUAAGAGGAUGAGUGUAUAGUCUGAAAAAAAGCUUUUAAUUUUAUUAUGACAGCAAAGAUAAACACUGCUGCUUCCUAGGGAAGAGGAGUUCACGAGUAAACUUUCUCUUUUUUCUUUUAUCUCUCUCUAUCAGCUUACGUUUUCUUCUUUGCUCUUUUCCCUCCCCUUCCCUUUUUCUCUUUCACUUGAUCUCUUUCUCUUCUUUCUCUUCUUCCUCUGUGUCUCUUCCUCCCCCUUCUUAUUCCCCUCCUCCUACCCCUCUUCUUUCUGUCUUCCUUCUUCUUUUUUACAUUCUUCUUCUCCAUGUUCUCCUUCUUCCUCCUCCUUUUCAUCAUCAUCCUUUCUCUUACCUUUCUCCUUCCUCUUUUUCUUUCUCUUCUCCUUCCCUCUCUCCUUUUCCUUAGGGUGGUAGUGAGGAUGAAAGCAGUAAUCCGUGUGAAGCACUUAGCUCAUGGUUAUUCAAUGAGCUAGUGUCCACUUGCUUGAGUUCAAAGUCCUGUCUUUGCUCAGAACUCUAAUCCCUCCCUCCAUCCCUCUUUGUCCCAAGACUUGAAGGCAGAGGGCAUCUGUGUGAUUUACUCUUCCUGUUUCCUUUGCCAGUUUGUCCAUCCUGCCCUAAGGCAUGGCGCUCAGUGCCUUGAGCCUCAUUGCCUUGCUGGACCCAGAAGCUUGGGGACUGGAAUCCAUGGGAAGAUGUGUGGGAGGAAGGCAGAGGUGGGAUUACCAAGAAGCUGUAGAGGCUUAGGUGUCAGGGUCCCUCACAUGCCUGGGUUCCUUCCCAGGCCCUAGAGAGGCCCUAGUGAUGCGUUCAUGUGGUCAUGUUUGGCAACAUUUGCACAAGUAAGACAUGUUAGCUACAACUGCUUACAUCCUCUGACUUUUCCAUUUUAACUUGCCUCAGUCACACUUCUCUGUUAGAGAGUUAGAGUGACUACAGGCAAUUUUUGGAUCUGGCUCAGGGGACAGGUUGUGAAGAUAUAUCUGUGUGGUUUGCAGUCACUGUGUGAGGUAACGGCUAGCCCUCCUUGUGUUGGAAUGGCUUCCAUUCAUCUUCCUAUCGCCCACCUGCUGUCCUGACCUGAAGAUGUAGUGCUAGAGGUCUUAUCAUGAUGGUCAUGUCAACCUACAGUGGCUUCCCCUGGAUGCAUGUGGGUCAUACAGGAGAGACAAGGUUUGAAAUAUACAUGGCAUAGUCAGAAGGCAGUCCGUGGACCAGUGCUACACAAAGAACUAUCUAAUACAUUUAUUUUGAGAUUUUUUUCCCUUAGAUUUUGUGAUAUUUGUUACUUUGUGUUUUAGUUUGAUGAAACUUCUCUUUUUAAAUAAAUAUUUAUUUCUACCUAAUUUUAAAACAAUUUUUUUUGAGAUGGAGUCUCGCUUUGUCUCCCAGGCUGGAGUGCAGUGGUGCAAUCUCAGCUCACUAUAACCUCCGCCUCCCGGGUUCAAGGAAUUCUCCUGCCUGAGUAGCUGGGAUUACAGGUGUGUGCCACCAUACUUGGCUAAUUUUUUGUAUUUUUAGUAGAGACAGGGUUUCACCAUGUUGGUCAGGCUGAUCUAGAACUUCCGACCUUAUGAUCCGCCUGCCUCGGCCUCCCAAAGUGCUGGGAUUACAGGCGUGAGCCACCGCACCCAGUAGAAUUAAUAAUUUAAUAUUAUUUUUUGAAAAUAAGAAACCCUAAAUUGUAUACGUUUCAGUCCCAUCCGAUGUGAAUCCUCCCCUGGAAGUAGGGGAAAAGAGAGAGAAUGAGGAGGCAGAGAGCUUGGGAGUACUGGGGAGCACCACCCGGGGCCAUAGUAGAGGCAGGAGUGUGAAGAGGCAGGCGAAACAGGGUGCGCAGGAUUUUAAUCUUUUGCUGCCUGUGCUUACGUGUGUGUGGUUGGCAUUAAUGGUGUGGGGAACACAGUAGACCAGACACUUGUACACAUAUUAGAGAAUAAAUUAAGCCAGAGGUGGAAAAGGAACAUAACUUAGUGGUGCUAAUUAUUAAAAUAACAUACAUGAAUUGCUUACAUCUGAUACCUUGCUUUAUGUGGCAGAAUAAUUAUGUACACUAAUUAAUUUUUCAGACAAACCUAAGUUUUAUUUAACUGCAAUCUCAGAUGUUCUCUAAGUGUAAUAAUCUUGCAAAGUUAGGAGUAUGCAUUCCAACAACUAAGCUUUAACGAGUUCAAGGUUUCAGUAGCUCAAAUUAUGUGCCUUCAGUGUGUGUGUGUGUGAGAACAUUCUAUUCUGAAAUGCUCCUCACUGUUAAGAAUAAAUGGACCCUCCACCUUUAAGUGAGUAGAGUUGGGAGUUAACUUUAGGCAAACUACCUCUCUUUUAGCAGUUUGGAAAACGUAUGGUGUUACAUAUACCCUGUGGGAUAGGUCAUUAUUUCUCUUCUAGUAUAAGUCAGUCUUUGUCUGUUUAAAUAUGUGAAAUUUCCUUUAUGUAUUAUUAUUAUUUAAAUGUACACCAUGGGUAUUUUUCUUUUAUGCUUUCCCUUAAAUUCGUAUGCUGAAAAUUGUAUAAACUAUGUAUUACAGUCCUUCAGAAAUCAUUUAUGAAGGGUUUACAAUGUGCCAGAGACACCCCAAGUGUCCACCAGCCUCAUGAGGGAUGCUGAUAAUGAGGCUGGGCCAUGAGGGGUAAUGCAGAUGUGUGGAAAUGCUAAGGAAGAUCUAUGGUCUAGCUGGCAUGGUUGUGUGUGUGGGGUUGAGGGCAGAGAGGUCACAAAAGGUUUCCUUGAAAAGGUAGUGUCUGAGCUGAGUCUUGAAAGACUCCAUUCAGAAAGGCUUAGACCUUUGGAUACAGAAGAAAGACCAUUUAAUAGUGUUCACAUUCACAACCACCAUUUUUGUUUCCACUAAGCCCUCUUAUGAUCUGGGCAAGAGGAUCUGACCAGUCACAAGGGCCCCAGAGAAGAACAUCGGUGUUUUAAUUCUCCCAAGUAUAUUUUGGAAGGAUGGCUCUUUCAGCCCCUUCUUGCCUUCUCUUGCCUUCUGUGUUAAGAUAAUAGUGCAGAGCCAGGAAUGCAAUCCACCAAAGCCAGUAAUUAACUUUCUCUUUGGAUGGGGAGAGUGAAUUCUAAUUUCCUGGCUGAUGAAAUUUUCUGUGGGUUGUUCUGCCUGGUGUCUUCUUUGUUGGCCAUUUUGCCAAAUAGAUGCCAAUUUCCUCAGCUUUAAUUAGUCCAGAUGUCAGAAGCUCAAAUCAUAGUAUCUUCAAUGUGUGUGUUUGUCAACAUCCUGCUUUUAAAUGCUCCGGGCUUCUUCCUGUAUAUUUCUUUUAGCACAGUGCCUUGAACCUGAUAGAUACACAGUCUGUUGUGAAUGAAGGAGUAUAGGAAUGAAUGAAUUAAUAUCCAUGAUGAGCUUUAUUUACAUGAGUGAACCUCAAAGCCUGAGGAUCAUAUAAGAAAUAGUUAAAUGAUUUUCUUUUUUUUCUUGAUCUACUUAAUUACGCUAAACUUCCUCUCCUCCACCCCCCAAAAAAACUCCACUCAAAAACACUUUAAAUUCCAAAGAAAGGGAGCUUAAGAAAUAGUUCUUAAUCUAUUUUUAAGCUCACAGGGGUUUUAAGACUAAUUCUCUGUGAAAAUGCGUCUAAUUGAGAAAACAUGCUUGGUUGAGGGAUGAGAACAGCAUGCAUUUUCUUUGAACAGUUUAGGUUUUAACACACAAAAAAAACUCAAAGGAAAACAACAAUAACAACAACAAACCUACAACCAUAGAUAUGACUGGGUGGCAAACACAGAAAAGUGAAUUACCCUGGAUGACACCCACAACCAAACAGCAGCGCCUCUCUCCUGUCUAGCCUGGUCUGGUUAGGCUGGGAGAUCUUGUUUUCCUCUCCAUACCCCUACCAGAGAGGCCUCCCUAGCAACCUAAAAAGAUGCCGACCUAAAGCCUAGCUGAACUGUAGUCUGAAACAGAGAAAAACAUGCUGAACUGACCCUGUAGUGACUCACUGCCGAGUCUGGGGGAUAGGUCACUCUGCAAGCCCACCUGGGCUCCAGCGUGUCUUUAAUGAAGACCUGGCUGUGCAGCUUUUUCCUGAUGUUGUCUCCGCCACCUUGGGAUAUGGGUUUAAACAGAAAUGGAAAAUUGUUCUCUCCAGGCUGAGGAUUGUUACAGGGGUUAUUUUAAAACAUCCUUUUGGGGGUAGGGAUAAAAAUGGAUGUGGCCUGGAGCAAUCUUUUCUCUCUAGGACUAUUUCUUCAUCUGUGUUAGAUGAUUGCUACAGUCCCUUCUAGUUCCAACAUGAUAUGACUCUCUAAUUCUCCCUGCUAUAGGUAUAGAGAUGUCUAAAUUAGGCAGGUCAGCUGGUCAACCUGUGAUUCCCUGGUUUUAUGAGAGAGGAGAUCACUAUACCAUAACAUAUCUUGCAUAUGCUUUCUGAAAAUCUAAGGAUUGGUAACUGUAUCAGGUGUCUUGGCUGCAAAGAUGAAUUCUGGCUAGUUUAAGCAGAAAAGGGAUUUAUUACAAGAAUUAUCUGUGAGGUAACACAGAAUCUCCAAAAGACAGAGAACCAGUUGAAAUAAUGACAUUUGGCCAAACCCCAUCCAACGCUGAUCCUAUGAGGACACUACUCAGUUUAUAGGUAUAAACGGAGCAUUUGUUGAAGUCUCCUGAGUGUUGCUACGUAAGCAACCCUCCAGUGUACAUUCUCUAUUAAGGUAAUUGGCUGCCCUUAGCAUUGAAGCUGGCAUACAGAUGAUAUCACAUUGUCUAUGCUGAAAUAUGCAAAGAAAUACAGAUACUGCAAAAAAGAGCCCAAUUAUAUGAGUCCUUUCCUCCCAGGAUAAAAGCCAAAAACAUACUUCACCAGCCUCCCUUGCUAUUAGGCUCAGUCAAUCAGAUGCCCUUGCACCUGACUGAUUAUGGAGCUAGUGAUGUAAGGAAGUGAGUGAGACAAUAGCAAAGACAUGGAACCAAUCUAGGUGCCCAUCAAUGGUGGAUUGGAUAAAGAAAAUGUGGUACACAUAUACCAUAGAAUACUAUGCAACCAUGAAAAGGAACAAAAUCAUGUCCUUUGCAGCAACAUGAAUGCAGCUGGAGGCUGAUAUUCUGAGUGAAUUAAUGCAGGAACAGAAAACCAUAUACCACAUAUUCUCACUUAUAAGUGGGGGCUAAAUAUUUGGUACACAUGGACAUAGAGAUGGCAACAAUAGGCACUGGGUACUACUAGCGGGGGAAGAGAAGGAGGGGAGUAAGGGACUGAAAAACGACCUAUUGGGUACUAUGCUCCCUAUCUCAGUGAUGGAUUCAUUCAUACCUCAAACCUCAGCGUCACACAAUAUACCCAGGUAACAAACCUGCACGUGAACCCCCACAUCUAAAAGAAAAGUUGAAAUUAUAUUAAAAAAGAAGAGAAGUGUAUGAGACUUUGCUAAUUAGCAUAGUGAAUAUCCGAAAGGAGUUUUCACUGUGGAAACUAGUGACAUUAAUUAGCAAAAUGAACAUUAGAUAUGGGAUAUCAUUAUAAUAAAAAAAACAAUAUUUAGGAUACUGGUAUGGGCUGAAUUGUGUCCCUGCUACCAAUUCAUAUGUUUAAGCCCUAAGCGCCAGUACCUCAGAAUGUGACUAUAUUUAAAGAUAGGAUUUUUGAAGAGGUGAUUACAUUAAAAUGAGGCCAUUAUUGUGGCCCUAAUCCAAUCUGACUGAAGUCCUUAUAAGAUGAGGGGAUUUGGACACUCAGGGACACCAGGGAUGUGCAUGUACAGAGAAAAGGCCAUGUGAGGACUCAGUGAGAAGAUGACCAUCUGCAAAACAAGGGGAGAGACCUCAGGAGAAACCAAGCCUGCCAACACCUGGAUCUUAGCAUUCCAGCCUCCAGCACUCUGGGAAAAUAAAUUUCUAUUGUUACCAGCCUGUGGUCCCUCACAAACUAAUACUGCUACCUCGAUUGGCUAAAAUAUUAGAGCCCUUCCUGUUUUUAAUGAAGAGGGUAUAAGGCUCCAGCAAAGACUGCAGCCUUUUUCUUAGGGAUAGUGCCUGAGACUUGAUCGCUAACUGGCCCAGUGUCCACCCACUUAGUUGGAGAAUUCCAAGUUGCCCGGCAUGGCCUAGGAACCUUCCAGAAUCCUGCCUCGGGCAUGUUGCCAUGUCUGCCUUGAGAAAAUGUUUCAGUCAAGGUGGUGCUGAGAGCCCCUAAAAGGACAGAAAAUGGGACUUCUUUGAGCUAACCAAACGUGUUGUAUGAAUUGUUAAUAAGCAAUUGUAAAGUAAAUGUCUGUAUAUGGAGCAAAAAAUUGGUUUAAGACUUGGUUUCCGUAUUUGGUAGUGUGAUAACGGGCAUGCCUCGCCUCAUGUGUGGCCACACUGGUUUGGGUCAGUUCAUGGCGGGUGUUCACCAGUGCUGAGCAGCCAUUACAAUGACAAGUCUCUAUCUUAGUGACCAAAUGGGGACAUGAACUCCAUGACAAAUCUCAGGCCUUAGUUUUCUGUGACCCAAAUAAUGGCCUCUAUGUCAACUUUUAAAUGAGGUUGUCCUUUCAAUUAAGCCCUUAUUUAUGUUUUUCUUUCCUUUGGAAUUGAGAUUCUCAAAAUAUGUGCCACAAAACAUUCUCAAAAAUAGCUUUCUGUGAUUAAAUAAGUUUGGGAAACAGUUAAAUGCCCUCUCUCCUUUCUUGGAGAUACAGAACCUAUUAGCAUCACAUUAAAGAUCUGGAGAAGUCGGCCGGGCGCGGUAGCUCAUGCCUGUAAUCCUAGCACUUUGGGAGGCUGAGGCAGGUGGAUCACCUGAGGAGUUUGAGAACAGCUUGGCCAACAUGGUGAAACCCCAUCUCUACUAAAAAUACAAAAAUUAGCCAGGCAUGAUGGUGCGGACCUGUAAUCUCAACUACUACUUGAGAGGCUGAGGCAGGAGAAUCACUUGAACCUGGGAGGUGGAGGUUGCAGUGAGCUGAGAUUGCACCACUGCACUCCAGCCUGGGUAACAGAGCAAGACUCCAUCUCAAACAAAACAAAACAAAACAAAACAAAAAAGCAUCAACAACAAAAAGAUCUAGAGAAGUCUAUAGUAAAGAAACCUGUUCAAAUUUACUUAACCUAGCAUUACUCACGUGACCACAGAUCAUUUUUCCCCUUUUGGAGUACGCUGUUAAGUGGGGGGCUGGGAAUGGGUGGAAAUGGUUAAUGGGUACACAAAAUAGAAAGAAUGAAUAAGACAACGGGUGAAUAUAGUCAAUAACUUAACUGUACAUUUUAAAAUAAUGUAUGGAGUGUAACUGAAUUGUUUGCACUCAACGGAUAAACGCUUGAGGGGACGGAUAACCCAGUUGCCAUGGUAUGCUUAUUUUACAUUGCAUGCCUGUUUCAAAACAUCUCAUGUACUCCAUAAAUAUAUACACCUACUAUGUGCCUACAAUAAUUUUUUAAAAGAAAUAAAAUUUGCAAAAAAAAGAGAGAAUACCUGUUAAUAUCCCAAGGAACUGUUGUUCUGCGGGACACUCUUAUUUAUUUAUUUAUUUAUUUUUUGAGACGGAGUCUCACUCUGUCACCCAGGCUGGAGUGCAGUGGCGCGAUCUCAGCUCACUGCAACCUCCUGGGUUCACUCCAUUCUCCUGCCUUAGCCUCCCUAGUAGCUGGGACUACAGGCGCCCGCCACCACACCCUGCUAAUUUUUUGUAUUUUUUAGUAGAGACGGGGUUUCACCAUGUUAGCCAGGAUGGUCUCGAUCUCCUGACCUCGUGAUCCGGCUGCCUUGGCCUCCCAAAGUGCUGGGAUUACAGGCGUAAGCCACCGCACCCGGCCUCUGCGGGACACUCUUAUCUAAAAUGUGGUUCUAGAAGGGUAUUUGUGCCUGUGAUUAGAUUUGCCCCUUUUCUUUUUCACACAAUGUCUUUCACUAUUCAAACAUGCAGUCAAGUUGAGCUCAGCAAGACAUAGUUUUAAAUCUAUGUGAAAUAAGUAAUUGAUGAAAUGACUCAUAUGCCAUCUCCUUUGAUUCAGUGGUUUUUCUUUGAGUGGCCAAGAGCUUGCUUGGGAGUCACACAAUGUGCGAUGUAUCAGAACCCGGGAAGACAUCCCUGCAGGCAUGCUGGAAAGGUUGGUCUCAGGCUGGUUAAUGACUUCAAAUGGCAAUCCCAGGCUCUACAUGCAGUAAUCCUACUCCUAGUUGUUUAAAUUCAAACACUUAUUCUCUUAAAUACUCAUUAUUUUCUAAAAUUCAAAUGAAAUAAAGUAAAAGUAUAUAAAAUUAAAAUGGCACAAGCCAGAAAUUUCUGGAUGCAGAUAAGACAAGAAAAACAAUGAGCGAAACCCUCUUCAUUGUUCCAAAGGCAGGGGCACACAUUUGGAAUUGUCCUUGAAGAUGGGCACCCGUUCAGUAUUGGGAAAAUCCUGGGCUGGCAAAGGGUAGUUGCAUUUGAAGUGAGAAAUGUGUUCCAAAGAAAAGACAAAGAAUAGCCAUUUCUAGACAAUGCUGUAGCUAAGGCUUAUAUAAACCAUGAGGGGUAGGGUGGCAUUUAAGGAUGUUUCCAUGCCAGAUUUCUCCUCAGGAGUGUGUGCCUUACUUUGAUACACCGAAGCAUUAGCAAAACCCCAAGCAAACAGCUGUCUUCAGAGUCCUAAUUGUGGGUCUCCCAUGAUAGGACAGUAUGAAAAACAGCAAGAGAAAAAACAUCCUUCUCUAGGAUCAUGUUUUAAAUAUGUAUAGAUACAUGUGUCUGUGUGUAUAAUUGUAUGUUUAAUUUGUAGAUCAUGACUACAAUGUGUUUUAUUCUCCUCUUGGGAACACGCAUCAACCUACUUCUCUCUCAUAUACAUAAAUGCCAUCAGGGCAACUACUCAAGCAGAAUCCUAGCAGCCACCCCGAUUGCUGCUGCUUCUCCACCUGCUACACUCAGUCUAUCAGCAGCUGCUGUUGCCUGCAAAGUGACCCCAGAUCCACUCAUUUCUAUUUCCAUUGUUAUGACCUAGCCCAAGAUACCAACACCUCAUGUAGAUCACUGCAGUUCCUGUUAAUUUGUCAUUCUGUAAUGGCAGAACCAAUUCAACGUUGUCAGUAACAAAAUGAUGAGUUUUUCAGUGCAAGGGACCCCCAGGUUGCUGGUCACAUUACCUGAGCAUGCCCAAAUGAACUAAGGGUACCUGAUUCAGGACCCUGGAGCCAGCUGGAAUAAAAAAGUCAAUGAUGUGUGGAACCCAAGUGCUUGGAUCAAGGAGCAAGGGCCAAAUUAAGAAGCAAGGGGUGCCCUGUUUUGCUGCCGUAUGGACUUAACCAAAGACCUGGCGUGACUUCUUUGCAUGAUCCAAUCAGAUCAUGCCUUGUUUCAUUUUCCUGUCCCUUGCAUUGUUGCUGUUUGCCUGGAAAACCUGCUCUCAAACCCUUGUUCAGGAAGACAGAUUUGAGUGUUGGCUCCUGUCUCCUUGGCAGUUGACUUGCAAUAAAGCCCUUUCUUUUCUCAAAAGCUGGUGCCAUAGUACUGACUUCUGUGUACCUUAGGCAGUGAGGCCAUUGUUUGGCAACAUUCCUGCUGAUGAUUUUGGGUAAAACAGUUACUCUCUUGAUUCAAUUUGCUUCUGGUAAAAUAGGGGUAAUAAUAGUUUCUACUUCCUAGGAUAGCAGUGAGGUUUAAAUGAGAAAAGGAUAUCCAAUAUUUAGCAGAAUGCCAGGGCUAUGGUGAGUUCUCAACAAAUAUUAAUAUUUUUUACCACUACUGCAAUAUAUCCUCAAUUCCAAGGAGUAUUUCCAUUGGAGAUUUUAAUGUCAAUAGUGAAAUCUCUUGAGCAUGUGCUAUAAAAUACCUUAUUUUUCUGUGUAGCUAAUACGAUAUUAAAUGCCAUGAUUGUAUGUUUACAGACUGUUAGUUCACUGACAUAUUUUGGGGAUUCAUGCGAGAAUUUCUAUAACUGAAGUUUAGGGAUGACAAAUGCUAAAUAUACAUAAAGUAUCACUCCUAAAAUGUUAUCGUCUUUCACUGGGGAGUAGUAACUAACUCAUAUAUUGACUUUUGCACAGGCAGAAGCCAGGUUGAGGAUUAGAGGAGUUUAUAUAAAAAGAUUAAGACAAACUGGAGAACUGAGAAUUAAGAGCAUCUUCCAAAUGCUACUCACUAUGCCUCUAUGCAUCUUUAUUAUAAAUUUAGGAUUCUGAGGCUAAUGAGAUUCCAAGAUCCCAAUUCAGAAGUCUCACGAUAGGACUGAAUUCACAAAGCAGCAUCUACUUAUUGGAAGAGUCUAUUAGUUCUAUAAGGGACUAUUAUAACAUUAUCUUGACAAAUUCCAGGGUUAGGAAAUUGCAAAUUACAUGCUUAUCAGUUAAACUCUGAAUCUUGUAAGGCUGCCCACGUUUUGAAGAUCUGAUAAUCAGAUUGUUGUUCUCCUACAGUCCAGAUACGUUCUGAGAGUUGUGUCCUUCCUUAGGCGAUUUCAUCUUUGUGUGAACAUCAUAGAGUGAACUUACACACACCUGGAUGGUAUAGGCUAUUACAUGCCUAGGCUAUAUGGUAUAGCCUAUUGUUCCUGAGCUACAAACAAGUACAGCAUGUUACUGUACUGAAUAUUGUAGGAAAUUGUAACACAAUGGUAAGUAUUUGUGUAGCUAAACAUAUCUAAUCUUAG
rnacentral:lncRNA from 1 species